rfam:Ictidomys tridecemlineatus contig035648, whole genome shotgun sequence.
GGGGUUAUAGCUCAGUGAUAGAGCACUUGUCUAUCAAGUAUGAGGCACUGGGUUCAAUCCUCAGCACCA